rnacentral:lncRNA from 1 species
UUCCAGAGGACCAACAUGUCGCAUGAAGAAAUGGGCAGAAUGGCCUUACACACAUCCUGGAUCCUUUCUUAGAUUUCUGCUGGCUACUGCUACUGGGGACAACGACACUUCUAUGUGUAGCAAUGGAGAAAAAGCUGUGUGGUAUUCCAUGGCGCAUAGGCACAUCUACUUGAAUUCUUCUGGGGCAGCUCAACUCACCAUGAGAUGCUUUUUCUACAACCCAGUAAGGAGAGUGGAUUAUUCUCUUUUUGGUACCUCCUCUGCAGUUUGGACAAGCUCCUGGAAUAGUGUCUGUAAUACUUUAUUCAAGGUCUGCAAACACUUGGCACACAGGUCACCACCCCCUUCUUCAUUUA